rnacentral:rRNA from 1 species
AACGAACGCUGGCGGCGUGCCUAACACAUGCAAGUCGAACGAUUGCCUUCGGGUGAUAGUGGCGCACGGGUGCGUAACGCGUGGGAAUCUGCCCUUAGGUUCGGAAUAACAGCUGGAAACGGCUGCUAAUACCGGAUGAUAUCGCGAGAUCAAAGAUUUAUCGCCUGAGGAUGAGCCCGCGUUGGAUUAGGUAGUUGGUGGGGUAAAGGCCUACCAAGCCGACGAUCCAUAGCUGGUCUGAGAGGAUGAUCAGCCACACUGGGACUGAGACACGGCCCAGACUCCUACGGGAGGCAGCAGUGGGGAAUAUUGGACAAUGGGCGCAAGCCUGAUCCAGCAAUGCCGCGUGAGUGAUGAAGGCCCUAGGGUUGUAAAGCUCUUUUACCCGGGAAGAUAAUGACUGUACCGGGAGAAUAAGCCCCGGCUAACUCCGUG